CAGCUGAUAAAUUCGUCAGAAAGUAUAUCCUAAAGUGAACCAUUCAUCUCACCUGCUAUGCAAGACUUCAACUGUGAUGGUGACACAGAUGGAAAAUGGACUGGAGCUUUACUGACAGUCAGUGGUUCUAGGUCAGCCUCGGUAUGCAGGAUUCACAAAGUGAAGUUGGAGAAGGAGAACUGAAGUCUAAGAACUUGCAGGUGAACAGGGAAAAUUACAUUUGAAAGGAAGCGAAACCACACAAGCCCUAGAUGCACCAUUGGUAAAUUCCUCAACUUCCAAAGAAGGAUUUCACUGUGUGGACUCUUGUGGAUGGAACAGAG
rnacentral:lncRNA from 1 species